rnacentral:rRNA from 1 species
AUGCAGUUGUUGAUGGAUGAGAGUCUUUGCUUCUUAAUGAAAUCCAAUUGGGUCUUUGCUCUUGGUGCCUUGACGUCUUAUUGCUGCUGCAGUAGCUUCGGUGGAGGUUUUGUAGGUUUCUGCACUCCUGCUCCUGCUUCUAGUGAAUCCAUCUCAACCAUCACAGGUAAAUUACUUCUCAUUAGUGCUUGGGAAAGACCCACCAAGCUCAACUUCGAGCGCGUCCCCACAAAAGAACAUGCUACGUUCUGUAGCAUCCAUCAGUUCCAGUGCAUUGAGCAGCCACUCCUUCCUAAGGCUCGUGCUCAAGCGGAGCAUGGGGAUCUAGGCGCCCCAGCCACCGCUAACCCUGGGGAUCCUGCGGCCGCUGAUGCCCUGCCCCCUCCCAUAAGAGGGGGCGUCGCGGCCGCCCGACAAAGUAGGCUCCCCGCUCUGCGAAUGGCGGGUGCGCUAGUUCAUCCCCACCCGAGGAGCCUAGUAGUCGUGCCGAGAAGCGGCGGCCUCCCCGCCACGUACUUUCUGUGCUACGGACGUCUGGCACCAUUGCACUAUGGUUACCCGCCAGUUCAUGCGGGGGUGAGGGGCCAACCUAGGUGCCGACCUCAGGGCCUGCAAAAGGGGGCCCUGGUCGACCAGAUUAAGGCCCUGGAUGAGGAGGCUGGUGCAGCCGGCCUCUCGGCCGAUGAUUGGCUUAGGCGGUACUCCAUCGAAUCUUCACUUAUGGAGAUCUUCAAGGGUGAAGAACUAUUUUGGCAACACUACAGGGGGCAGAAUUGGCUUCUCAAAGGAGACGCCAAUACCGCAUACUUCCAUGCUCUAUUCCAUGCCUCUGGGAGGGGGCUCUUCAUGGCAGAACCCCAUGGUGGGGUUUCCUUAGCGGAUGACUUUUGGUCGCCCGCGGCCAGAGUUUUCAACAUUGAGAAUGGGGAACUAAAUCUCCCAUUCUUGCCAGAAGAGGUGGGUAGGGCUAUUGCCUCUAUGAAGGCGGGGUCGGCCCCGAGGCUGAAUGGCUUGCCGGUGGCCUUCUGCCAGAUAUUCUGGAAUGUCCUGAAGCCGGUGAUCAUGCUGAUGUUUCACAAAUUCUACAUUUGGACCUUCGACAUGUCCAGGAUAAAUUUUCGUGUUAUCACCCCGAUCCCCAAAGUAGUUGGGAUGACGGACAUGGUGAUUAAUGUACUCAAGCAGAUUUUUGCUAAAGUCAGCUCGACGCGCUUAACUCCUGUGGAGGAGCGGCUCGCUCAACCCCUCCAGAUGAUGUCCGUGAAGGGCUGA